AAGCAGUGUCCCCACAAGAGACUGAGCCAGACUUGCCUGUGUUUAUCUGCUUGUUCUCUGUAUCUAUGAAGAGCUCCAUCAAUCUCUAAACUAUGACUAUUGCUUAGUAAUUUCAACUUUUUCAUGUUUAAAGAUCAUCAAACAGAGGAAAGAGUCACUACACUUACAGAGGGAUGAUUCCUUAAUGAAGACUAACAAGUAAAUCAAUGAUUCUCAAAUUUUGGUGUGCAUGCAGCAUACCUGGAAACCUUGUCAAAGUGAAGAUAAUAAUCCAGUGAGUCUGGGAUGGGGCCUGAGAUUCUACACUUCUCACAAGUUCCCAGGUGAUGCCAGAGCCUCUGGUCCUCAGUUCAUACUUGACAGCAAUGUAAUAAAGAACUUGGACUUGAAAAGUUAAGUAGAAAAUAUUGAAGGCCAUGCUAUUAUUGAUAUUUCUCAAAUGGCCCAAGGACUUUGCUCCUUAAAGAUUUUCUUAAACUGUCAAUAUUUCAUCAUCCAACAAUUACUUCUUGGAAAUGCAUUUGAUGGAACUAAUGGAAGGAUUACUUUUGUGUCUUCACUAAAUGACUAAGAAGUGAACAUGCAAAAUAUUUAAGGAUGGGAGGAAAAAGUCAUAUGUGAUUGUUAUCCAAGUUGUUUCCUACUUCCUUUAAUGUUGUUUUAAAUGUUUAUCCUGACAACUAACUCCCUCAAUCAA